rnacentral:rRNA from 1 species
CCUACGGGAGGCAGCAGUGGGGAAUAUUGGACAAUGGGGGGAACCCUGAUCCAGCGACGCCGCGUGAGUGAAGAAGUAUUUCGGUAUGUAAAGCUCUAUCAGCAGGGAAGAAAGAAAUGACGGUACCUGACUAAGAAGCCCCGGCUAACUACGUGCCAGCAGCCGCGGUAAUACGUAGGGGGCAAGCGUGAUCCGGAUUUACUGGGUGUAAAGGGGGCGUAGACGGCGAUGCAAGUCUGAAGUGAAAGGCGGGGGCCCAACCCCCGGACUGCUUUGGAAACUGUAUGGCUGGAGUGCAGGAGAGGUAAGUGGAAUUCCUAGUGUAGCGGUGAAAUGCGUAGAUAUUAGGAGGAACACCAGUGGCGAAGGCGGCUUACUGGACUGUAACUGACGUUGAGGCUCGAAAGCGUGGGGAGCAAACAGGAUUAGAUACCCGGGUAGUC